CAUUAGCAGUUGAAGUGGUAGGAAAUUUUUACAUAGGAGAGUAUGGUGAUCAUAUUUGCAUUUUAGAAAAUAAUGGAUAGCAGUUUGUUAGGGGAACAAAGGACAGAGACAGGGAGACUAUUUAAAACAUUAAUAAAAAAUACCAGUGACAGAUGAUGAGGCACCUACCUGAUGGGAAUGGAGAAGAGGAGAUGGAUUCAGAAACUACUUAGGAGAGGCAGGCAGUCCAAGGCUGAUGCCCAAAGAAGCCAUCAAGACCCGUGCUACUUCCAGCUCCUUCUGUCCUCAUAAUCAUAGAUGAUUGCUCCACAUCCAGGGUGGAAUGCAAUGGUAUGAACACAAGGCUCA
rnacentral:lncRNA from 1 species